GAAUUCACUAGUGAUUUGGCGGCGUGGAUAAGACAUGCAAGUCGAACGAGAGAAUUGCUAGCUUGCUAAUAAUUCUCUAGUGGCGCACGGGUGAGUAACACGUGAGUAACCUGCCCCCGAGAGCGGGAUAGCCCUGGGAAACUGGGAUUAAUACCGCAUAGUAUCGAAAGAUUAAAGCAGCAAUGCGCUUGGGGAUGGGCUCGCGGCCUAUUAGUUAGUUGGUGAGGUAACGGCUCACCAAGGCGAUGACGGGUAGCCGGUCUGAGAGGAUGUCCGGCCACACUGGAACUGAGACACGGUCCAGACACCUACGGGUGGCAGCAGUCGAGAAUCAUUCACAAUGGGGGAAACCCUGAUGGUGCGACGCCGCGUGGGGGAAUGAAGGUCUUCGGAUCGUAAACCCCUGUCAUGUGGGAGCAAAUUAAAAAGAUAGUACCACAAGAGGAAGAGACGGCUAACUCUGUGCCAGCAGCCGCGGUAAUACAGAGGUCUCAAGCGUUGUUCGGAAUCACUGGGCGUAAAGCGUGCGUAGGCUGUUUCGUAAGUCGUGUGUGAAAGGCGCGGGCUCAACCCGCGGACGGCACAUGAUACUGCGAGACUAGAGUAAUGGAGGGGGAACCGGAAUUCACGGUGUAGCAA
rnacentral:rRNA from 1 species